GUGCACCGUUUGAUCAUUUCCAUGUCACGUCUGGUCUGAAGCCAUCCCACCCAUUGUUUCUUCAUCCAAUCAGAGAGUAAACUGAGUCGAUGAGGCGCAGCCAAAAUCAGACGGGAGGAGGCCAGUCAGACCCCGAACUGACAUUAACGCCAGCUGAGGAGCGAGUGGCCGCACUUAUCGGGUCUCCCUCAGUUUGUGGCAUUCGUGGUGGGGGAGACACUGAUGAUCCUGAGUCCAAGCAGGCAAAUGAUCAGUCAGAACCAAGCGCCAGUGCUCACGGUUCCACAGAGCAGUGUCCACACAGCCCCGUCCUGGUCCACCACCACGGGCCUCUGUACUAACGGCUGAAGUCCAGGGGCCUGUUUCACAAAAGCAG